GACGAACGCUGGCGGCGUGCUUAACACAUGCAAGUCGAGCGAUGAAGUUCCUUCGGGAAUGGAUUAGCGGCGGACGGGUGAGUAACACGUGGGUAACCUGCCUCAUAGAGGGGAAUAGCCUUCCGAAAGGAAGAUUAAUACCGCAUAAGAUUGUAGUUUCGCAUGAAACAGCAAUUAAAGGAGUAAUCCGCUAUGAGAUGGACCCGCGUCGCAUUAGCUAGUUGGUGAGGUAACGGCUCACCAAGGCGACGAUGCGUAGCCGACCUGAGAGAGUGAUCGGCCACAUUGGGACUGAGACACGGCCCAGACUCCUACGGGAGGCAGCAGUGGGGAAUAUUGCACAAUGGGGGAAACCCUGAUGCAGCAACGCCGCGUGAGUGAUGACGGUCUUCGGAUUGUAAAACUCUGUCUUCAGGGACGAUAAUGACGGUACCUGAGGAGGAAGCCACGGCUAACUACGUGCCAGCCGCCGCGGUAAGAC
rnacentral:rRNA from 1 species